UUAUUGGAGAGUUUGAUCCUGGCUCAGGACGAACGCUGGCGGCGUGCCUAAUACAUGCAAGUCGAGCGGAGCUGAUGAGGUGCUUGCACCUCAGAUGCUUAGCGGCGGACGGGUGAGUAACACGUAGGCAACCUGCCCUCAAGACUGGGAUAACUACCGGAAACGGUAGCUAAUACCGGAUAAUUUAUU
rnacentral:ncRNA from 1 species